rnacentral:lncRNA from 1 species
ACGCAUCAGCCUUUGAAUCUCCAGGAUUUGGACCAGUUUUGAGAAGAUGAUUCAACUUUCCUUUUCCUUUCAGAAAGGUUUUCACAACUUGGGACCACUUCAGAUAAUUCUUUCCAUCAAGUUUGUAAGCAACAAGAAUGCUUUGCAAUUCUACACUAGAAUACUUUGAAGUCACUUCUUCAGAUUGAACUGCCAUAGUUAUCUCAGACAUGGUAAGGCGACGAAGAAAGAGUAGGAUUAGAAA